UGGGGUUUUCAUAGAUAUCCUGUAUUAGGUUAGGGAAGUUCCCUCUAUUCCUAAUUUACUGAGUGAUGUUUUUUAAACAAAUCAGGAACCGACGUUGGAUUUUUCAAAUGCUUUUUCUGUACUGUUAAAAGAAAAACCUUAGACAAAUUAAAUUUAACAGAGUUUAAUUAAGCAAAGAACCACUCGCUAAUGGGGCAGCCCCCAAACCAAAAUAGGUUCAGAGAGGCUCUGGUGCUGCUGUGUGGCUGAAGAUUGGUGGACAGAAAAAGGAAAGGAGGCACAGAAAACGGGAGCAAAGCACAGAAACCGCCAGAGGGGCUGCAGCUCCACGCUUGCCUUAUCUGAACACGGUUGGAAUGGCCAGCACCCUUGAUGAGCGGAAACCUGGGUGUUGCUCUGUCACCCAGGCUGGAGUGCAGUGGUGCCAUCAUAGCUCACUGCAAUUGUUAUAGGAGAGGGGUCCUGAUCCAGACCCCAAGAGAGGGUUCUUGGAUUUGGAUCCUGUGCAAGAAAGAAUUCAGGUGACUUAGAAUGCCUGGCCAUGUGGGAAUGCAGCCCAGUAGGACUCAGUCUCAUUUUACCCAGCUCCUGUUCAAGAUGGAGUCGCUCUGGUUCACACGCCUCAGACACAGCCUCUGCCUCCCGCCUCAGCCUCCUAAGCAGCUGGGACUACAGUGCAUACCUGAUUUUCUCGACCUCUUUUAUGAACUAUCCCCGCCAGACUUCCUCCACCCUGCCACCCCCAGGUUCCCGUGCAUACACAACAUUGCGGGAUAGGUAUUGUGGAAUGAGGAUCCGUGUUACAACCUACAGAAGAUGUGGCUGUGAAGUCAGGAGUCACGGUCUCAGAGUUGACUGCACUGCCUCGUAGCUGUGUGACCUUCAGGAUUUUGUUCAACCCCCUCUGAGCUUCAGUUUGCUCUCUGGGAAGACUCCAAGGAUAAGAGCAUCUACCUCCUCAGCCUGCUGUGAGAGUUACGGGGCCAGGGCCAAAGACGCUUUGUCCGACUGCUGGUCUGCGGGCAGCUCUAAAUAUGAAUCUGCUACAUCACCUUCACUUUUGAAUUCGGCUCUGAUGUUCCAAAUGUUCUUGGCCGUUCCUCCGUGUUUCUCCUGUAUGAAUUUCAGCUUCUUUUUGCCAAGUAUCUCCCCACCCCCGCCCACCCCCACCCCCAAAUAAACUCACUAGAAUGUUGGUUGAA